AUGGGCACUGAACACACAUACUAAAAAUUGGAACAAUACAGAGAAAGUUAGCAUGGCCCAUGUGUGAGGAUGACACGCAGAUAGUCAUGAAGCCUUCCAUAUUAAA